GAUUCUGGCUCAGGAUGAACGCUAGCUACAGGCUUAACACAUGCAAGUCGAGGGGCAGCAUUGGGAUAGCUUGCUAUUCAGAUGGCGACCGGCGCACGGGUGAGUAACGCGUAUCCAACCUUCCUGCCAGUAGGGAACAGCCCGGCGAAAGUCGGAUUAAUGCCCUAUGUUCUUCAAUGCGGACAUCUAAGUUGAAGGAAAGAUUCAUCGCUGGCAGAUGGGGAUGCGUCCGAUUAGCUUGCCGGCGGGGUAACGGCCCACCGGGGCGACGAUCGGUAGGGGUUCUGAGAGGAAGGUCCCCCACACUGGUACUGAGACACGGACCAGACUCCUACGGGAGGCAGCAGUGAGGAAUAUUGGUCAAUGGGCGUAAGCCUGAACCAGCCAAGUAGCGUGCAAGGAUGACGGCCCUACGGGUUGUAAACUGCUUUUAUGCGGGGAUAAAGUGCGGCACGUGUGCCGCUUUGCAGGUACCGCAUGAAUAAGGACCGGCUAAUUCCGUGCCAGCCGCGGC
rnacentral:rRNA from 1 species